rnacentral:rRNA from 1 species
UGGGGAAUAUUGCACAAUGGGCGCAAGCCUGAUGCAGCCAUGCCGCGUGUAUGAAGAAGGCCUUCGGGUUGUAAAGUACUUUCAGCGGGGAGGAAGGGAGUAAAGUUAAUAACCUCAUCGAUUGACGUUACCCGCAGAAGAAGCACCGGCUAACUCCGUGCCAGCAGCCGCGGUAAUACGGAGGGUGCAAGCGUUAAUCGGAAUUACUGGGCGUAAAGCGCACGCAGGCGGUUGAUUGAGUCAGAUGUGAAAUCCCCGGGCUUAACCCGGGAAUUGCAUCUGAUACUGGUCAGCUAGAGUCUUGUAGAGGGGGGUAGAAUUCCAUGUGUAGCGGUGAAAUGCGUAGAGAUGUGGAGGAAUACCGGUGGCGAAGGCGGCCCCCUGGACAAAGACUGACGCUCAGGUGCGAAAGCGUGGGGAGCAAACAGG